UCUGUACGAAGAAUGGUUGUU
rnacentral:piRNA from 1 species